AUACGUAAGGGGCGAGCGUUGUCCGGAAUGACUGGGCGUAAAGGGCGUGUAGGCGGUUGUCUAAGUCUGGAGUGAAAGUCCUGCUUUCAAGGUGGGAAUAGCUUUGGAUACUGGAUGACUUGAGUGCGGAAGAGGUAAGUGGAAUUCCCAGUGUAGCGGUGAAAUGCGUAGAGAUUGGGAGGAACACCAGUGGCGAAGGCGACUUACUGGGCCGUAACUGACGCUGAGGCGCGAAAGCGUGGGGAGCGAACAGGAUUAGAUACCCUGGUAGUCCACGCGGUAAACGAUGAAUGCUAGGUGUUGCGGGUAUCGACCCCUGCAGUGCCGGAGUAAACACAAUAAGCAUUCCGUCUGGGGAGUACGGCCGCAAGGUUGAAACUCAAAGGAAUUGACGGGG
rnacentral:rRNA from 1 species